CAAAGAUACAUGGGGAGACAUUGACUCUGACCAUGAGGAGAACUAGGUGGGAUUGUUGUGAGCCAUAUCUUUUGACAGUGUUUCUAAUGCAUCAGGUUUUCACCUCUAGGCUGAGAACUAUCUGGCUGCAGUGAGCAUCUUUAUUCAGAGACUUACUGCUGGGGAUAUGGCUCAGUGGGGAGAGUGUUCUAUUUCUAGCACCAGACCUGGACUCAUUUCCCAGCACUACUGAAACCGGCCAUGCUGGUGUUGGCUUAUACUCAGCACUGGGGAACUAGAGGCAGGAGGAUGAUUUCAGGAUCCUCCUGGCUAUGUGUUCUAGCCUGGGUCACACAAGGGUCUCUUUUGGUAUAAUAUAAACAGUUUAAGUUGUUUCAAACAGUUUUCCAUGCUUCAACCACGUUUCCUUUUUUUUCAAAUUGCAGGACUGCAGCCAUGUUACCAUCCAAAAGAGCCGGUUCUUAUGCAUCUGUAGGUUGGAAAGUCUGAUCAUAUAUCCAGUACUGAGGAAGCCAGGGCCACGUCUGACAACUUGACUUUGUUACUUCAGAGUAGAAGGUGUCUGAGACUGUUUUUGAUAUCAUCUUUACAUGGGAGUUGGUUGGUUAAAGGACACAUCGCCCAGACGUUGAUGGAGCCAGAGGACCUAUCCUGGACAUCAUGUACAGAGAAGAUGGAUCCCGGGAGCUGCUGGAGCCAGUAGGACCAGGCAUGCAGAGGAGAUAGAUGCAGGCAGCUGAUGGAACCAGGAGGACCAGUCAUGAAAUG
rnacentral:lncRNA from 1 species